GCCUGGUUAGCUCAAUGGUAGAGCAUUCGGCUGUUAACCGAAGGGUUGAGGGUUCGAGCCCCCCACCAGGCG
rnacentral:tRNA from 5 species